rnacentral:rRNA from 1 species
GACGAACGCUGGCGGCGCGCCUAACACAUGCAAGUCGAACGAGCGAGAGAGAGCUUGCUUUCUCAAGCGAGUGGCGAACGGGUGAGUAACGCGUGAGGAACCUGCCUCAAAGAGGGGGACAACAGUUGGAAACGACUGCUAAUACCGCAUAAGCCCACGGCUCGGCAUCGAGCAGAGGGAAAAGGAGCAAUCCGCUUUGAGAUGGCCUCGCGUCCGAUUAGCUAGUUGGUGAGGUAACGGCCCACCAAGGCGACGAUCGGUAGCCGGACUGAGAGGUUGAACGGCCACAUUGGGACUGAGACACGGCCCAGACUCCUACGGGAGGCAGCAGUGGGGAAUAUUGCACAAUGGGGGAAACCCUGAUGCAGCGACGCCGCGUGGAGGAAGAAGGUCUUCGGAUUGUAAACUCCUGUUGUUGAGGAAGAUAAUGACGGUACUCAACAAGGAAGUGACGGCUAACUACGUGCCAGCAGCCGCGGUAAAACGUAGGUCACAAGCGUUGUCCGGAAUUACUGGGUGUAAAGGGAGCGCAGGCGGGAAGACAAGUUGGAAGUGAAAUCCAUGGGCUCAACCCAUGAACUGCUUUCAAAACUGUUUUUCUUGAGUAGUGCAGAGGUAGGCGGAAUUCCCGGUGUAGCGGUGGAAUGCGUAGAUAUCGGGAGGAACACCAGUGGCGAAGGCGGCCUACUGGGCACCAACUGACGCUGAGGCUCGAAAGUGUGGGUAGCAAACAGGAUUAGAUACCCUGGUAGUCCACACUGUAAACGA